GACAGAGGGUGCAAACGUUGUUCGGAAUUACUGGGCGUAAAGCGAGUGUAGGCGGUCUGAUAAGUCGGGUGUGAAAGCCCCGGGCUCAACCCGGGAAGUGCACUCGAAACUGACAGGCUAGAGUAUCGGAGAGGUUGGUGGAAUUCUCGGUGUAGAGGUGAAAUUCGUAGAUAUCGAGAGGAACACCGGUGGCGAAGGCGGCCAACUGGACGAAUACUGACGCUGAGUCUCGAAAGCGUGGGGAGCAAACAGG
rnacentral:rRNA from 1 species